GGAGGCCCCGCGCGCGGGUUUCCAUGGGGACGCGCCGGCGCUGCGGCGUUGGCGCAGUCGUGGGAACAGCGCGGAGCAGAGAAGCACCAAAAGAGGCAAACUGAGAUGCAGACAAAUGAUCAUCCGUAUGCUGAUCAUUUUGAAUAGAGAAUUGAGAAUUAAAUGAAAAGGUAAAUCCUUUUAAAGACCUCAGAAGAUGGAUCUGUUUGUUUCAAUCUGCUUUUGAGGUUGUUUGCUAUGUCUUUGGCUGAUCUAACAAAAACAAAUAUAGAUGAGCAUUUCUUCGGCGUGGCAUUAGAAAACAAUAGGAGGUCUGCAGCAUGCAAGAGAAGCCCAGGCACAGGCGAUUUUUCACGGAACAGUAAUGCUUCCAAUAAGAGUGUUGAUUAUAGCAGAUCUCAGUGCUCCUGUGGAAGUUUAAGUUCUCAGUAUGAUUAUUCAGAAGACUUUCUCUGUGAUUGUUCAGAAAAGGCUAUUAAUAGAAAUUAUUUAAAGCAGCCUGUGGUAAAAGAAAAGGAGAAGA
rnacentral:lncRNA from 1 species